AAACAUCGCCUCCUGACAAUUAUAAUAUAGGAGGUCUUGCCUGCCCAGUGAAUAAUUAAACGGCCGCGGUAUUUUGACCGUGCGAAGGUAGCGCAAUCACUUGUCUUUUAAAUAAAGACCUGUAUGAAUGGUGGAACGAGGGCUUAGCUGUCUCCCCCCUUAAGUCAAUGAAAUUGAUCUGCCCGUGCAGAAGCGGGCAUAUAACUACAAGACGAGAAGACCCUUUGGAGCUUAAGAUAAAAAAUCACCUAUGUUAAAAACAAACUAAAAUAAAUUAAACCAAAUAGUACCUGAUUUUAAUCUUCGGUUGGGGCGACCACGGGAGAAAACAAAGCUCCCACGCGGACUGGGGCCUAGUCCUACAACUAAGAAAGACACUUCUAAGUACCAAAACAUUUGACCACAAUGAUCCAGUAAAAUACUGAUCAACGAACCAAGUUACCCAAGGGAUAACAGCGCAAUCCUCUUUAAGAGUCCAUAUCGACAAGAGGGUUUACGACCUCGAUGUUGGAUCAGGACAUCCUAAUGGUGCAGCCGCUA
rnacentral:rRNA from 1 species